rnacentral:rRNA from 1 species
UUCAAUAUGAGAGUUUGAUCCUGGCUCAGAAUCAACGCUGGCGGCGUGCCUAACACAUGCAAGUCGGACGCGAAAAG